GACACCUAUUUUUAUUUUUUAUAUUAUUUUAAAAAUCAAUUUUACAAGCAUUAAUGCUGUUACAUCGUACAACUAUUUCAAUUCAAAUUUUUUACUAUUCAAAUCUCAAUCCAAAAUUCAAACCCCCAAACAAACACACCUUAAUUGUGCACCGACAGAGUCGAGGAAGUCAUAAUUCAGGUCCCAUCGUCACUAUCCGACAACAAAAAGUCUCGUAUUUGGUCCCUGCGAAAUGAAAAACAUGAAUUAUCUACUUGAGCUGUCAAGGAUGCCGGGAGAAGUGAAAUAAAAUUCUCGAGUGUUCUAAGAUCCUUCGGAAGAAUCUGAUACUGGCAACUUGGGCACGUAUGUUCAGAAAUCGUUGAAUUUGUGUCGGGGGAUUUCUUAAGCGGGCUAUUGCAGAUGAGACAAUAGGAGUCCGGGGGUAAGGAUUCGUUAGGCUUCAAGUUAUAUUUCUUUUGCCUCCUCUUAGAAGCUAAUUGGUUGCUGUGGUCGCCGUCUUCGGGAAUUCUGUUGAAGGAGAAAGGCGUCAGCUUCCCUGCAGUCCUGACAAUGGUGCUUUCGCGCGAGGGAUUGUCGUCCUGUAAGAGAAUCAGUAAGUUAUCACGCAAUUCGAUAAUAAUCGAAGAUGUGAUGAGUCAGAUUGGUUACACAAUGUAACUAAUUGUCAGAGGCAUCGAGUGUGUUCACCCAAGAAAUUUUUUUGACACGUUCACAAUUAAUAUCACUAAAAAUACAA